rnacentral:sRNA from 1 species
AUGCAAAUCUGCUGUACAUCCAGAGAGCAAAGUGGGAUGAUCUGUCACUACACCUGCAGCACCACGCUCGGAGGACAGCUCCUGCCUGCAGCUUCCAGACCCAGGAAGCCUGAGGGGAAGGAAGGAAGUACGGGCGAAAUCAUCAGAUUGGCUUCCCAGAUUUGGGAAUCUGAAGCGGGCCCACAUCUUCCGGCCAACUUCCAUUGAACUUCCCAGCACUCGAAAGGGACCGAAAUGGAGAGCAAAGGUAUGUGGUUGUGCCUAUCGGGGGACUUCCCGCUGCAUGUGCGUGUGGCCAAGGCAAUCCUCGGCGAGGGGACUGCAGUGCUUGGGGAGCGAGCAUCAUACUAGGUCGAUAGAGGAGGAGAUGCUAUGUCCAUUGCAGCACUGGGGAAGUGUGGCAGGAAGGCGACUUCUUUUUAACUCCCACAGCUUGGAAGACAGUGUUUAAUACUCCAUCAGUUGCGUAGUGAAGUGUGAUGAGUUUUUUGGGGGGAGGUGGGGGGAGUCCCCCCAAAAUGGAGGAGGAGGAGGAGGUAUGUGUUG